rnacentral:misc_RNA from 1 species
GAAAUGCGAUAAGUAAUGUGAAUUGCAGAAUUCAGUGAAUCAUCGAAUCUUUGAACGCACCUUGCGCCCUUUGGUAUUCCGAGGGGCAUGCCUGUUUGAGUGUCAUUAAAUACCAUCAACCCUCUUUUGACUUCGGUCUCGAGAGUGGCUUAGAAGUGGAGGUCUGCUGGAGCCUAACGGAGCCAGCUCCUCUUAAAUGUAUUAGCGGAUUUCCCUUGCGGGAUCGCGUCUCCGAUGUGAUAAUUUCUACGUCGUUGACCAUCUCGGGGCUGACCUAGUCAGUUUCAAUAGGAGUCUGCUUCUAACCGUCUCUUGACUGAGACUAGCGACUUGUGCGCUAACUUUUGACUUGACCUCAAAUCAGGUAGGACUACCCGCUGAACUUAAGC